AAUUAGUAUUCUAUCAAAUUGACAAACACAUUUUUAAAAUUAGAGAUAUUUAAAAUCACAUAUAAAAGGAAAUAUCCAGGACAGACACAGAGAGGAAGUUUUAACAAAUCUACUGAAGAGAAAAGAUGGACAAUACAAGACUAUCACAUGUAUAAACAUACAGUUUGUUUCUUCUUAGACAAUACAGUUUCUUACUUCCAUAUAAAUUUGACAUCUAUUUGAUUUGAUCUGGGUCUAAUGCAAUUUUACAGUAGUAUUACAAUUCCCCUGGCACAGCCAGUUUACCUAACCAGAAUGUUCCUGGUUUCUGUACAAUUACUAAAUUGUUCUCUGCAAGCAAGUGACAAAUUCUCCAAAUGACCCUGAGGCGGAGGUCAAAUGACUUCAGAUACAUUGUCUCCAGUCAAAUAAACAAUGAGCACAUUCCUCACUCAAGUAUGAAAAUCCUGACUGCUGUAUCAGUUUCGGAUAGCAAACAAAAACUUAACAGAGUUUGAGGUGUGCUGCUAGAGCAAAGGAGUCUAAUAUCGACCCUCUUCUAUUAUCGACCCCCCACCCUUAAUUGAUACUUAAUCACAUUUAUUACUAGAAAUCAUGUGAUCAUGUUAUUCACUGUCAUUUUUACGUCACAAAUUUUCUUCAUGCGCCAUUUUGAAUGUUUACAUACAGUGUGACUGCAUGAGAUAAAUUUCAGUGCCAACCACUACAUCGUCCGUUAAGUGACAGUUAUGACGAUUUUGACGAUUCCUCUGAUGGACAAAAUGAUGAUGGACAGUGCAGACAGCUUAGACCAAUGUCAGGGGUGUGGUCAGUCUAAUGGGAAGCCAAAUGAGUGAAAAGGCUGUGAUGAAUGCCCAGGAUGGUGGCACAUUAAAUGUACUAAGCAACCAGAACUUCACUUGUUGACUC